rnacentral:tRNA from 1 species
GGAGUAGUGGCGGAAUGGUAGACGCUUCGCGGGUAAGUUUCACAUAAUAUUAGCCGGAACAUUGAAACAUUAGUCUGGAUAAGACUAUAUCGAUGAUUGAAACAUGCAGGUUCGAAUCCUGCCUACUCCA